rnacentral:rRNA from 1 species
UACGUAGGGGGCAAGCGUUGUCCGGAAUCAUUGGGCGUAAAGAGCGUGUAGGCGGCCAGAAAAGUCCGCUGUGAAAACUCGAGGCUCAACUUCGAGCUGUCGGUGGAAACUUUCUGGCUCGAGUCCGGAAGAGGCGAGUGGAAUUCCUGGUGUAGCGGUGAAAUGCGCAGAUAUCAGGAGGAACACCAAUGGCGAAGGCAGCUCGCUGGGACGUGACUGACGCUGAGACGCGAAAGCGUGGGGAGCAAACAGG